UACAGAGGGUGCGAGCGUUGUCCGGAAUCACUGGGCGUAAAGGGCGCGUAGGCGGCCCGGUAAGCGUGCGGUGAAAGCCUGGGGCUCAACCCCGGGUCGGCCGUGCGAACUGGGGGGCUGGAGCACUGUAGAGGCAGGCGGAAUUCCGGGUGUAGCGGUGGAAUGCGUAGAGAUCCGGAAGAACACCGGUGGCGAAGGCGGCCUGCUGGGCAGUUGCUGACACUGAGGCGCGACAGCGUGGGGAGCAAACAGG
rnacentral:rRNA from 1 species